ensembl:lncRNA
UUGAUGUACAAUUUAGGCAAACGUGGAGAGUGGACUGUGAUAAUCUCCUGCAUCAAAGGCAGGAGCUGCUCUAUUUCACCUUAAGGAAUAAGUUGCUCAUACUGAACUUGACCUGCCAGACCACUAGGAAAAUGUUUUAUUUCUUUGUUCUUGUAUUUUAAUAUUGUCAAAUCUGUCUUUAAAUACCAAAUUACUUUAUGUUCAAGAAAUCCCCUUACAAAUAAAAAUAAGUGCCUGUCCAGAUAAAAUACCAUUUCCUCCGCCAUUACACAAAAUCAGAUUACUUCACCUUGUGUUUGGGAGCUGUAACUGCCCUGAUAAUGAUAGUAAGAAUGCUGGUACUACACAUCCGUCUUGAGGUCCUUGCAAAGUCUUUAAAUCUGUACUGAGGCAUGCUGAUCCUGAAAAUGUGCCUGUUCAAUUCAAUCUAGGCACCCCUAGGUUGUUUGGCUUCCUGUGUUUUGAUCUUGGCCUGUUUUUUGUUGCCGUUUAUCAUGGUUCUUAAGUCUUGCCUUCAGCAGUUGGUUUACUGUAUAUCCCAUAUGGUCCGUCUUGUGACUUGGAAUUUGGAUAAUGUUCCAGAUUCAAAUGCACAUUCAUCUAGAACCUCUCCGCACUGGAUGCUAGUCUUUGAGCACUAAGUGGACUGUCCAUAAGCCUAAAGUGCGUAAGUGAAGCGUUGGCAGUUGACUGCCAAAAGUCCCUACAAAGCUAUCUUCUAGACUGACGGUGAUAAAUGUUGUUAGCAAGUAUAUUCUGUUACAUGAAGCACAUAUGAGAGAAUUCCGGUCAAUUAGAAUGACAGCUAUGCUACAACCCUAUUACAGGUUGUGUUUACAUUGAGAAUCUAAGCUCAAAUAUAUUGUAACCCUCCACUGUUUUGUUUGGUGAGACACUGGCUGUGAAACUGGAGGGCAUGAACAAUCUUGCUUGCUGCAGAGAAGCAGUUUAAAGCACUUAAAAAAAUUCUACAGCAUAGACCACAAGUUAAGGAUUGCCCAUUCAGACAGUGUAAAUAGAGCACAUAUGGAAUUUUACUGUUCUCUAGUAUUUGUUAGACAAGUCAACAAAGUCAGGGAAACACGACAGACAUUUCCACCCUUUUAUUGAGAAACAAACAUACAUCAGUAGUCAUUUCAUUCGAGCACAGGUAAUGUGAAUUGACCAGUUACCAGUAUUCACACUCGAGUAAAGACUGCAAUUUUGGCACAAACAAGACUAGACUUAUUUUACUAUAGUAAAAAGACUUUAGCACUUAAUGAAUUGUAAAUCAAGGCACUGCAAACUGACACGGUUCCUACAUUAGUUGUCAGACUAAAAUGCUGACUACAGCAACAGCUAUUCAAAUACAUUCUCCUGUUCAACAUAUACACAAAUUCCUCAUAACACUUGAUACAAUAUAAACUAGAUGAAGGUUAACUGAUGCAGUUGUCGUCUUACUUGAAAAAAAGCUUCCAAUACAAACCUAAAAAAGAUAAAGGAGAAGGGGUUAAGGACACAGAAUUUCAGAACACAACACUUAACCUGAGCACAAUACAUUUGUUUCAUGCCUGUGUCAGAUUAUUGCAGACAGUCCACUUUAACCUGUGCCAGGCUUGAUUUAUUCUCCCAAGAUUAAAAGGAUCACAGUAAGGAAGGUUGCCGUUGCCAUGAUGGAAUGAACUUGGGGUACAUUUGUAGGGUUAGAUGUAAAGAAAUGUUAAGACAUACCUUCUAACAUCCUGAGCGGGUUCUGGAGUUAUACACCUACAUCCUGAUAAACACAGAGUUUAGUGCAGGUACACAACAGGGAUUCAGUUGACAGGUAAUUACUUUUUUUUUUACUGGCUAUAUAUAUAUAUAUAUAUAUAUGGGAAAACCUUAUUGAUUAACGUCCAGUAAUAAUGCUCAUACAAAUCAGGAAGGACAUUUGUUUUGACUAAAGCAAAUUAAUCUAAUUUUAUUUAACUCAACCACUCCCCUACUCCCAUUAGACAGCAUGGGAAUGCUAUCCAAUCACAUUUCAUUCUUAGGGAAGCUUCACUCUGCCAGACACAUUAGGGCGAUAAACUAACCCAAAAUGUUCUAUUUGUGAGGUCGUAAUCUAUUGGAAACACCAGCAACCAGAAGCACAAAAUUCAGGCAAUAAUAUUUAAAUGCAAUGCAUGUCGUUUAUAACUUACAUGACGAUGAUUAACCACCAUUCCAGGGCAAAAUUGCCACUUCACACCACUGGAGGGCCAAUCCUUCCUGAACAAAAAUGGCAAGAUUUGAAUAAUGAUUAAAAAGGGGUACAGAAAUGGCCAGUACACAUCUAUAUGGGAAGCAAUGAAUGUUUGUCCCCAGACUAGGAAUGCCCCAGUGUAUUUGGGAACAUUCAACUCUCAGAGGGGACACAGCACAGCCAUGACUCAGAAUCAGACACCACUAAAACAGCAGCAUCUGGGUAGAGUCAAACUGGCUGCGCCUUUCUUUUCCAGCAGUGUAACACUAGUUCAGGCACGGUACAGGUCUGAACUGCUGACUACCGCUGGGUAACGUCAAGUCAUUUAAAUACUUAACCAAAAUUAAACAAACAACAAGAACUGUUAAAUCAACUGACCUCACCCAAACUAUGCUAAGAGGGGGAGGCUAGCUAACGUUACUUCGUCUCUAAAACACGUGGUCUUGAGUCUCGACUGAACUUCGGAAACCUGCCCCAAAUCAAAUCACCCAGGGCAAAAUAAAAUAUAGCAUCAACGACAGAUAAAACUACUUAUGAUACAAGACUUAAAAAUCAUUCCCAUCUUGAUUCAUCACCAUAUUACCAUUACUUUGCGGACAUGUGUUGCUACCACUGA